UACGUAGGGGGCAAGCGUUGUCCGGAAUUAUUGGCGUAAAGAGCGUGUAGGCGGUCCGGUAAGUCAGCUGUGAAAGUCAAGGGCUCAACCCUUGAAUGCCGGUUGAUACUGUCGGGCUAGAGUCCGGAAGAGGCGAGUGGAAUUCCCGGUGUAGCGGGUGAAAUGCGCAGAUAUCAGGAAGAACACCAAUGGCGAAGGCAGCUCUCUGGGACGGUACUGACGCUGAGACGCGAAAGCGUGGGAGCGAACAGG
rnacentral:rRNA from 1 species